rnacentral:rRNA from 1 species
ACUCCUACGGGAGGCAGCAGUGGGGAAUCUUGGACAAUGGGCGCAAGCCUGAUCCAGCCAUGCCGCGUGAGUGAUGAAGGCCCUAGGGUCGUAAAGCUCUUUCGCCUGUGAAGAUAAUGACGGUAGCAGGUAAAGAAACCCCGGCUAACUCCGUGCCAGCAGCCGCGGUAAUACGGAGGGGUUAGCGUUGUUCGGAAUUACUGGGGCGUAAAGCGCGCGUAGGCGGAUUAGUCAGUCAGAGGUGAAAUCCCGGGGCUCAACCCCGGAACUGCCUUUGAUACUGCUAGUCUUGAGUUCGAGAGAGGUAAGUGGAAUUCCGAGUGUAGAGGUGAAAUUCGUAGAUAUUCGGAGGAACACCAGUGGCGAAGGCGGCUUACUGGCUCGAUACUGACGCUGAGGUGCGAAAGUGUGGGGAGCAAACAGGAUUAGAUACCCUGGUAGCGACUGA